rnacentral:rRNA from 1 species
UACGGGGGGGGCAAGCGUUGUUCGGAAUUACUGGGCGUAAAGGGCUCGUAGGCGGCCAACUAAGUCAUACGUGAAAUCCCUCAGCUUAACCGGGGAACUGCGUCUGAUACUGGAUGGCUUGAGUUCGGGAGAGGGAUGCGGAAUUCCAGGUGUAGCGGUGAAAUGCGUAGAUAUCUGGAGGAACACCGGUGGCGAAGGCGGCUCUCUGGGACGGUACUGACGCUGAGACGCGAAAGCGUGGGGAGCGAACAGG